CCACGCAUUCCUUGUAUUGUGGUAGUCAGUUAGUCAGUCACUAUAGUUACACUAGUACAUAGCUUCAUUACAUGCUUCCAACCAUGCCAUCUUAUUUUGUGUAUUAAUAGCUAGCUCUUCAUCCCUGACAAAACAAACUAUCCGUAUGCUUUGUCAAAGCGUGCUCACCGAGUUUCCAAUAAAAUGACUCAUUCUAGUUGUUUUUCUCUAUGCUUAAGCAUACCAUGUUUGUUCCAGUUAAGUGCAUUUUACUUUCUAAAUAAUUCAGUACCUGUCCCGUGUCUAGUUGUUUGUGUUUGCUUAAGAAUUACCGAAUCUAAACUCUGUGUUUAUGCUUUUGUGUUCGAGGUGAUUGUCAACCAACUACAACAUGGCAUGGUGACGUGGCCCGUGGGUAGUUGCUGCGGUGGAACGAAGCCCCAUCGAAUGGGGGUUUCCAAGUCUGUCCUUGCCUGGAAGCAGCAGCUGCAUCGGGUGAUUGCCGGCUGGCCGUGGCAGCCAUGACGGCGGCGGCAAGGUGCCCUAACAGCAGCAGUGGCAUAGGCUGAAGCCGGCGCUGGAGAUGGAGGACCUCCUCCAUGCCUUGGAUCCUCCCCCGUCAAGCUCACAUGCCAUGAUAAGGAGAAGAGGUUUGGUGACACUCCGUUUCAUGUCUUUAGUUGGAUUAGGGUUGAAGAUUCUAGGUUCUGUUUACGGGAGUUCAUGAUUUUAAUGGUUUCUAGCUUCUGUUAAAUAUUUGUGCUACAACGCUUGUAUAUACACAUAUCAUGAUCACAUAAAUAGAAUUUUUCAUAUAUUGGAAUCUGUCCAUUUCCUUGUGUGGAAGAACAAGCAAACACAUUUUUUCCUUUUUAGCCUUGCAUGAGUAUUUGUUCAAACCGAAUGCCUGCAUUAUGUGUUAAUACCUAUGCUGCAGUAUAUUUCAACUUUGUACACCUUGUCCCGGUUAUGCUGCACUUUGUUGUGCUAUUGUCCGCAUCUACGUAUUUGUAUCAUUUUUUACUGGAAAUUGCAUUUCAUUUAGUUUGAAUCUUUUAGAACAUUUUGUAUUUUGCAAGUUUAUCUUGGUAGAUUAACCAUGUGUUGUGUCUCUUGUAACUAUAACUCGCUUCUCUACGUACUGAAAAGAUAUGCUAAGCUUCUGUACGUUUGGUUGCAACAGCUCCAUGGGUGAGCUGAUGUGGGAGACGGAGAGGUUGAGCCGGAGGAGCUGCGCAGCUUGCCUGCCUGUGGCGACCACAUGCAGCAGUGCUAUCUUGCCGGCGACGACGGCCAGCAACGCCGCUACACCGUGCGCCCUCCUGCUCAGGCCUUCCCGCCACCCUGACUGAGAGGGCACCCCUGCCCCAGCCUAUAGCUGCAGGACGACACAAGGCAGCAGCAGCUGCUGCUGUAUGUGUUCAUUGAUGGGCUUCUGCCAUUUGGAGUCGCUGGAGAUGCUGAUUAAAACCUGUGGAGAUUUUGUUCAGAUGCAUGUUGCCGAGAGGGAUAUACUCCAUGAAAUGGUGAAGAUAGUUAAGAAAAAGCCUUGAUUAUCCUGUAAAAGAGAAGAUACCCAGUCUGAUAGGCGCAUGGCAAGAAGCUUUUGGUGGUGCCCGUGCAAGAUAUCCACAAUAUUAUGCGGCAUAUGAAGAGCUUAUUGUUGGAGCAAAAUAGAUUCAGAAUGGCGUGUGAUCGCUCCCGCCGAGAGUGGCUCGCCGUGGCGCAGGGAUGGCGUCGGGAGGCACGGUGGAACGAGCCUGUGGCCGCUUGACCAAGCUGCUGCUGUAGGCGGUCCAGCUGGAGCUUCUGCCUGGGCGACCUCGCGCCCAAGCUGCUGCCGCCAGCCAUGUCCCUAAGGUGCUGCUGCUUCUGGCCACCAAUCCGAGCUGCUACUGCCUGUGAGAGUAUCUCAGCCAUGCAAGCUUAAAGGUUCACCAAGUUUAGCGGAAAAAAGACCUUAUUGACAAAGACAUGGCAAUUCGCAAGUAUGGUUGUAUAGUGAAGGAUAAUGGGAGGUUCUGUGCUUGGAGGUGUACCUAUACUUGACUAACUGAAGUAGUGAAGUGUAACUGGGGCAACUCCAUCUGUUCCGCCAUCCGGCGUCUGCGACACCUUUGACUCCAUCUCCAUCCGUAACACCCGGAGGAACCCAAGCAGAAGCGGCAGCAGGCAUGAAGCAUAUCAUGUACAAGGAGCCUAUGUGUUAUGUGCAUUGUGUGUCGAAUAUAUCAUGAAUUUUCGUGGUUAUUCUUCCUGUGGCUUGGGCUAUGUAUGUAUUGUGUGUGCUUUAUGCUUGUGUGAGAGCAGCCCACCAUUGAUGUAGCCGGUACAGAUAACAUGUGUGUGUGAACUCAAUGGUUCUUUUUUUGUUGAAUGAAAGCUAUAGUAUGUACCUUUGUAUAAACUCAAUCAGAUAGCAUGUACUCCGUCUUAUUUGGUUCAAACCAUUCUCUCUCUAGCUGGUGUAAACAAUGUAUUCCUUAAGUCGGGAACAAGUUUUAUGAGUAGGAAAAGGGUUGGAUUUUAACCGUUGGACAAUUUUUUUGGC